AGGCCACGUGGCGUUGCUAGCGAAACUGACAUGAAAUUGACAACGUCGUCACAGGUAAAAUAGCGAUAAACAGAUUAUCAUUGGUCAUCUCAACUCGAUUGCUUUUCUCACUUUCGCUGUACCAGCUCAAGCGAGAAAAUCAAUCUCGUUGAGAUGAUCAACGAUAAUCUAUAAAUAUAUAAGUUAAAAAGAAAUUUAUUUUAACAGUUUUUUGGUCUAGUAUGGUUCAGACUGGUCGAGUAUUGUUCAGACCUUUGGUUAAGUAUGGUUUAGACUGGAAAAAUAGGUCAAGUACAUGUCGAGAAUGGGUUAAGACUGUUUCAGACUGGUCGAGUAAUAGUUCAGACUAUUUUCAACGACAAAGAUAAGGGUCAAGUACGAUUCAGUACAGUCAAGUAUGGUUCAGACUGGGGUCGAGUAAUGUCAAGUAAAAGUCAGACCAAUUCAGACUGGUCGAGUAAAAAUCAGUAC
rnacentral:lncRNA from 1 species